GGCGCAAUAGCCAAGUGGUUACAACUUACGGCGACACGUUAUCUGUUCCUCUCUAAGGGCAGGUUCAAAUCCUGCUUGCGUCG